rnacentral:tRNA from 1 species
GCGGGAGUAGUUCAGCGGUUGAACACCACCUUGCCAAGAAGGUGGGGAUCACGAGUUCAAAUCUCGUCUUCCGCU